rnacentral:rRNA from 1 species
UACGUAGGGUGCGAGCGUUGUCCGGAAUUAUUGGGCGUAAAGAGCUCGUAGGCGGUUUGUCGCGUCGGCCGUGAAAACUUGGGGCUUAACCCCAAGCUUGCGGUCGAUACGGGCAGACUUGAGUUCGGCAGGGGAGACUGGAAUUCCUGGUGUAGCGGUGAAAUGCGCAGAUAUCAGGAGGAACACCGGUGGCGAAGGCGGGUCUCUGGGCCGAUACUGACGCUGAGGAGCGAAAGCGUGGGGAGCGAACAGGA